CGCAGCACGUGCUAAUUAAGCAGAGACUCGAGCUUCCUACAAGUUCGGACCUUAGUGGGAUUGGAACUUGGAGAACUGAGAAACAAAAACGGGCGUGAUUUUACCAGCUGAAGGCAGUUUACGUUCGGAGUUCCGCAGACUCUUCAGAGGCUGUAAAAAUGUCGGAGUCACGAAAGCCUGCAAAGAGCUGUUGCUCUCCUUGCUGCUGCUGCUGCUGCUGCCGUCCCUGCCCAUGCUGCAGCUGCUACUCCUGCUGCUGCUGCUGCUGCUUGUUGCUGAUUGUCGCUGUUGCUGGUUGCUGUUUACUGUUUGCUGCUGGCUGGAUUGCUGGAUUGCUGAUCGCCAGUCGGAGAAAUCCUGAGGCUGAAGAUCCAACUUGCCCCAAGGAACAAGAUGACCCGAAGAAGAAGUAGUCUAAUGAUUUCAAUACCCCCUUUCCCCCUCUGACCUUUCUCUCUUACCUUAUGUUGGGGGAUUGGGAGGGUGGCAGGAAAAACAGCCCAAUAAAGUAGCCAAAAGUUA